AUGAACCCCUGUCCAAUCUCGCGAAUCACUGGAGCAAACUUUACAAGGAAGUACCUCCUGCGACUGCACACCAGCAAGGCUUUCCUCUGCUCGGAUUUCCGGCGCGACCGGAAUUGGCGCGCCCAGAUCCGGAAGUCCCGCCUCCUAUCGGACGCCUGCAACUUGACGCCACCUGGAAAGGACCCAAUGAGAGGCGUUGCUGCGCUAGAGGGGUCUCAAGCCUUUUGGCCUCUGAGCGCCGCCCAGAAAUGCUCUUUGGUGGUCCGCCAUGGGAUCAUCCAGAAUCGUUUUUCACUUCUCUCUCUUUGUCCCAAUAAGAGCCCUCACAGCAGCCCUAUGAAGCUGCCUUCCAAGACCCCCACCAAGGUGGUGCCCCGGCCUGGGGCCUCCCUGGCCGCCAAGGAGCCCAAAGCCUGACAAGGGCAAGGGCCCGCCUUGGACAGACUGCAAGCGGUGGCAGCGGCGGUGGCACAGCCCCGGCAUCAGACUCCGCUGACCCCGGCCAGGGCCCGAGGUGCCGGCCCCACACUCGGCCAUUGAGGAGAAGGUGAUGAAAGGUAUCGAGGAGAACGUGUUACAGCUCCAGGGCCAAGACCGGGCCCCGGGCCCUGAGGUCAAGCAUCACAACACCAGCAGCAUCUCCAGCUGGUUCGGCCUGAAGAAGAGCAAACUGCCGGCCCUGAACCGCCGCACAGAGGCCCCCAAGGGCAAGGAGGGGGCCGGCGGGUCUCCCCGUUCCGCAAGGAGGUUAAGAUGGAAGUGCGGGAGCUGGAAGCCGAGAGUCUCAACAUCCCCACGCUGGUAGCCAAGGCCGAAGACCUGCGGCGGGCGCUGGAGGAGGAGAAAGUCUACCUGAGUAGCAGGGCCCACCCGCGGCCCUGGGGCCCAGCCUGGGGCCCCACGCCGGGCCGCCAAAGAGCUGGCAGGACCCCAGGCCUGAGUACGAUUUCCAGCCCUGGUGACCUCCAACCCCAAGAACCCCUGGCCGGCCUGCAGGCCCCGCAAUGGCCUUGUGGGCCCACUCCAGGGCUGCGGGAAACCUCCCGGGAAGCCAAGCAGCGAGCCAGGGCGGCCGGGAGACCCCCUAGCAGGACAGCCUGGCCGAGGCAGUGCCCGCCUCACACUUCACAGCCUGUGGUUCCUUGACCGGAACCUUGGCCAGUGGCAUCGGCACCUUCCCACCCCCAGACCAUGGCAGCUGCGGGACGCCCAGCAAGAAUCUUCCCAAGACCAAGCCUCCACGGCUGGAGCUGGAGCUCCCUCCCGGGGUGCCCCCAGCCCGGCCCCCGCCCUCACCAGAGUCCCGCGCCCUGCCCACACCCUGGAGCGGGAGGUGCCGGCCUAGAGGAGCUCCUGGUGAGUGGGCGGCACCCCAGCUUGCCUGCCUUCCCGGCGCUGCUCCCGGCCGCCCCGAGCCACCGUGGCCAUCUGAAGGGUCCCGAGGAUCCCUGUGAAGACCCAGGCCCAACACCCCCCCCCCCCCCCCCCGUGCAGCUGGCCAAGAACUGGACUUUCCCCAACACCAAGGCAGCGGGCAGCUCUGCCGACCCUUUCCUGUGCUCGCCUCGACAGCUGGAGGGGCUGCCCAGGACCCCCCUGGCCCUGCCCGUGGAACCCCCUGGUCCUGCCCGUGGACUGGAAGCGGAGCCUGGAGCCCAGCCGCCGGUCCCCCAGCCUUCGGGGCAGCCGCACCCCUAGCACGUCUGCGUGGUCAAGGAAGGCAGGGCGGCCAGUGGGGGCCUUCCGGCUUGGAGGCCUCGGAGUGUCUCAGUGACUCACUGUAUGAUUCACUCUCCUCCCGCGGGAGUCAGGGCUGAGAGCCGGCCCCCUGCGCUCUCCGUGCUGCCCAGAGACGCCGCAAGGCGGCAGGUGCAUCAGAAGAAGCUGGCGGGGUCCCCGGCACAGCCCACCGCCCAGGCUCAGCUCAGGGAGAGACCCCCCCCCCCACCAGCCGCGGCCCCUUCUCACCCAGAGUAAGGCUCUUUCUGCAGCGUCCAGGGGCUCCCACGGCCGCCAUGGUCCAGUCCCCAGCCCCCAGCCCCCACAUCGGGCUGAGCCAUCUUGUGGUGCUGGGCUUCCGGCCCACCAGCUGUGCCAUCUCUGCCCAACCUGGCUGCUCCCUGCCCUGAAGGCCCCGUGGGGUCGUCCCAGGACCCCGCACUGGUGGGGUGUGGGGUGCGGGGGACAAGUUGCCUUCUGCCUCGCCCUGGCCCUCCCUGCUGUCUGGAUGGUGCUGCCCCCACCGCCACACACACACUGCCCCGUGUCCUUGGGGUUGAUUUGUCUGUCUGGUGUGUGUAUAUAUAUAUGCAUCUGGCUCGGUCCCCCCCCUCCCCCAGCACCGCACUGCAGUUAAUUUAUCUGUCGUUACAAAACGUGGCUGCUCUGCUUCCAGCCUCAUUGCAUUUUGUAAGCAGAACUUUUCAGGAAGGCAGAUACGAUAAUAUUAGUGUCUGAAUCUGCUGGUUGUUUCUGCUUUCUCCCUAUACUUUGUAAAGAACUGACACUCAGUAGAUCUGGAGGACGACCCUGUUGAUUUGAGUACUACUCUCUACCGAGUUUUGUUGGAAAAAAUGCUUCCUAUUUUUUUUAUAUUCAGAUUUACUUUUUUGAAAGGCAGAGUUACAGAGGGAGCUGGUCCAGGCCAAAGCCAAGAGCCCAGAAUUCCAUGUGAGAGGCAUGGGCCGUUUUCUGCUGCCUUCCAGGGUACGUUAGCAGAGAGUUGGACUGGAAGUGGAGCCGCCAGGACUGGAAUUUGCACUCUGAUUAUCAGAUGCCUGUGUGGCAGGCAGCAGUUUCACCUGAAAGUCCUUAAAACACUAAUCCUGCAACCAUCUCAAAAAUCUGUGGGAUUUGGCCGGCGCCGCUGCUCACUAGGCUAAUCCUCCGCCUAGCGGCGCCGGCACACCGGGUUCUAGUCCUGGUUGGGGCGCCGGAUUCUGUCCCGGUUGCCCCUCUUCCAGGCCAGCUCUCUGCUGUGGCCAGGGAGUGCAGUGGAGGAUGGCCCAGGUGCUUGGGCCCUGCACCCCAUGGGAGACCAGGAAAAGCACCUGGCUCCUGGCUCCUGCCAUCGGAUCAGCGCGGUGCGCUGGCUGCAGCAUGCUGGCCUCGGCGGCCAUUGGAGGGUGAACCAAUGGCAAAAGGAAGACCUUUCUCUCUGUCUCUCUCUCUCACUGUCCACUCUGUCUGUUAAAAAAAAAAAUCUGUGGGAUUCAAGAGUUAAUGUGAUGAAACAUUCCUUUAGAAUAAAAAUAAUUUAGGGGCCAGUGCCGUGGCUCAUUUGGCUAAUCCUCCGCCCGUGGCACCGGCAUCCCAUAUGGGUGCUGGGUUUUAGUCCCGGUUGCUCUUCUUCCAGUCCAGCUCUCUGCUGUAGCCUGGGAGGGCAGUGGAAGAUGGCGCAAGUGCUUGGGUCCCUGCACCUGCAUGGGAGACCAGGAAGAAGCACCUGGCUCCUGGCUUCGGAUUGGCGUAGCUCCGGCUGUAGCGGCCAUUUGGGGGGUGAACCAACAGAAGCAAGACCUUUCUCUCUGUCUCUCCCUCUCACUGUCUGUAACUCUACCUGUCAAAUAAAUAAAAUUUAAAGAAAAACCAAUUUAUUCCUAAUUUAUCUGCUUUGUAAGUUGUUUCCUCCCUGUAUGCUGUAGUUGUAUGUGUCCCACAAAAACCAUGUGUUGGCAAUUGCAUCCAUUAACACAACAGUGUUGGGAUGAGGGGCCUAAUGCAUGCUGAUUAGGCCAUGAAUUCUAGAGUGGAUUAUCAAAGUAGUGGGGUUGUGACUGUGGAAACCUAAAGGAUGUGGUGGUCUCUUUCUUUCUUGCUCUCAUUCCCAAUCUCUCACCUGCUCUUACCCCCCCCCCCCACUUUCUGGCAUGGGAAGAUGCAGAAAGAAGGCCAUUUGCAAAUGGCAGCCCCUUGUCUUGAUCUUCUGCUGGCCAGCCUCCAGAACUUGUGCCAAUAAAUUAUGUUCAUGACAAAUUACCCAGUCGCAGUAGUCUGUUAAAACAAUAGGGAGUAAACAUUCUGUACAUAUACCUCUGCAUGACAGAAAAAUAUUGAGUUAAAAACGUGUCACAAUAGUGGAGAUAUCGACUGGCGCCAUGGCUCACUUGGCUAAUCCUCCGCCUGCAGCGCUGGCACCCCAGGUUCUAGUCCCGGUUGGGGCACCAGAUUCUGUCCCUGCUGCUCCUCUUCCAGUCCAGCUCUCUGCUGUGGCCCGGGAGUGCAGUGGAAGAUGGCCCAAGUGCUUGGGCCCUGCACCCACAUGGGAGACCAGGCAGAAGCACCUGGCUCCUGGCUUCGGAUUUGUGGGGAGCAACUCGGACUAGACUAAGUUACUGGAAUUAAGACUUAUUCUAUGCAUCUGCUCUCCCACAAUAUGGCGCUGAGAGAAAGAGACCAAACAACUUCUACGCAGCUGCCUCUCGCCAACUUGACUGGUAAGCUGCAGGAGCUGAUCCUGCUCCUGAUUGGAGGAGAGCAGCGUGCUCGGCGUGUGGGUGGCAGAGUUGGGAUCGGUGGAAGAGGACUAUAAAGGAGGAGAGAGACAACAUGCACCAGGGACAUCCGGAUAACAUCUGAGCAGCCCCCGAGAGAGCUGGCCGGCGGUGUGCCACUCCUCCGCAGAAGUGGGGAAAGUGGCAGGGGGAGCCGCCCCUCCACGGAGGUGGAGGGGUCGGCAGCCAACCCGGGAAGGACUAGCAGCAAACCCAGGAAGGGACGAGCAGACGAAAGAACAGCGCAGGGUCCUGUGUCGUUCCUCCGCGAAUGGGGGAGCGACAGGAUUGGCGCAGCGCGCUGGCUGCAGCAUGCAGGCCGUAUUGGCCAUUAGGGGGGUGAACCAACGGAAAGGAAGACCUUUCUCUCUGUCUCUCUCUCUCUCACUGUCUCUGCCUGUCAAAAAAAAAAUAGUGGAGAUAUCUGUAUGUAUCUCUUGCAUGUAGCAAGUCCUCUGAGAAAUGAAAUUGUUUAUGAAACAAAAGCUUCUUGGGGUUUACUCUGUGGUGUUUCAAGAACAGGAAAUUCUGUGCUGUAGUUAUUCAAACUAAUAAAUUUUACACCUCAACAUGGUUUUAAAUUUUGUUUUUACACGUUAAUUCUUUAAAGCUGAGUAUCCAAGUUGGGCCCAAAGUGCCGACUGCGCUCCUGUAAAGUCAGGGUCUCUACCCAGUAACAGGAUCAGAGACCUACCUCAAAAGCAAAGGAGCUGGGGGCAGGCAUUGUUGAAAGGCUAAAGAAAGGGGAAAUGCAGUAAGGAAGAGAGGUCAGCCCCAGGUCAAGCUUCGUGCCCAGGCCUGGGGUCCCGGGAUCCUCCUCCUACCUGGUGGCUCUUGUGACAAAGUAGGAGGAGAUCAAGUCCCAGUGAUCCUCUGUCCAGACAUGCGGUCGCCCGGAGCUGCCACAGGCCCAUCCCAGGGUCCCCACCAUGGCUCGCUGGCCAGGGUCUCCCAGGCCGGCUAGGGUCCCUCAGUCUGAGGUGCAGCUCCCUUCCGUGAGACCCUCCCUCUUCACCUUCAGCGAAGCUGCUUGGGCACUGGCUCCAAGGGCUGAUGGGACAGGCGGGUGCUGCCGUCCAUGCUCUCCCCGGGGGUCUUGCAGAUUCCGGUGCUGUGGGUCCCAGGCGGCCACGAAGGUGACCCACAAGCUCUGCGGAAGCCAAGUGGCCACAACUAGAAGGAAGGCAGGUGGCUGCUGCGGUGCGCUGUGUGCCGGGCUGUGGGUGUGUUCGCGUAUCCUCCUCCCGGGAGGGGAGAGAUGACCCGGUCCCAAGCCCAGAAGGCAGCAGUUAGGGGUAGAUUUCCCCAAAGGGGAGAGACCGUGCUACCCUGGGCACUUUCCCUGGGGCCUGGGAAUACAAGCAGGGUCCCAAUUUACUUUUCUCCAGCUUGGAUUGGUUGUCAAAGUUGGUUGCAGGGCAAGGGGGCGUCCUGUCAACCUCCAGCCUGUCAGUGAUUGCCCCGCCAACAGAUCCUCCCUUUUCUGGGAUGAACUAGACUCAUUCUGUGCUUUGUGGCCCAGCCCUUGCCAUGGCUGAUUUGUCCUUGCUUGACAUUGGACCCACACUCCACCCAAUGGGAUUAACUCCAUCGAUUCUGAAUGGGGACGAGGAGACCUAGAGCAGAAGCCUGGAGGCUGGGUCUGAUGACACGGCUGGGGUGCAGGUCUUUAGAGAAGCAUGCGUCUUUCCCUUCCACGGGCUCCUGUUGUGUAAUUUUUCAUCACAACCCUCCCUUUUAGCAGUCUUUUCUUGUAAGGUCCUUAAAUGUGGUUCCUGUGGCUACUGAAAGUGGUCUGUGGCCUGGCUGCGUGUCUCCAUCCCCAAGCCAGCCCUAGAUGGCCUCUCCAGCCAAGGACCUGGCUACUAUGGUCCUGGCACUGCCUGCAUUCCUCCAUCGCCCUGAAGGGGCAGAUGGUGAGAGGCCUGGCCAAGUGCUUGUGUGACCUCAGCCAGGGCAGUGGACUCCCUGCCUCCCUCCAAGGGCCCUUCUGCUAAGCUCAGCUUUCAGAAAGGGGCAGCAGGAAUCAGAGAAGGGCAGGGGCUGGCAUCCAUCCUCUCUGCUUCACUGUCACCAGCCUGCUCAGGACACAUGUGCAUCCCUUUGUAGAGGACAAGGGAGGCUCACCGUCAGGGAAGGACUCAUUGGAGGCAAUCCUGGAGCCAGGACUGGACUCUGUGCAUCUUCAUCUCACUGCCAAAGCCAUGGGUCACAUGCCUGAGUCUGCUGCCAUCUCCAUAGGUAGGGUCCAACGACCCCUCCCUUCUCCAAAUCUCAAGUGGAGUCUGGGGCUCAUAGUCAGUGUGGGGACUCAGAGCUCCUGUCUCUAGGAGCCAAACACAACCAUUAUUCAGAAAUGGCAGGGUAACCCAUGCUCAAAGCAGCAGCAGCAGCCAAUGGACAACAGUGCAGUCUGGAGAAGCCCCAUGGCCUUCCCCUAAGCUCUAAGUGUCCUCCUGGGGUGACUAUGGCUGGGCACUUGGGCUCAGGGAGCUUGGACCUGCGCGGAGUACUCCUGCCAAGGGAACAGCCCUGCAGUCUUCUGAAAAUUGUCCGAUUGGAUUGAUUUUGGUCAAUGCAUCGCUUUCAGCGGGGCCCUGGCUGAACCCUGGAGUUUCCUCCCCAGGCUCGGGUUCUGGUUGAUAACGGUAAGGGCCGACUUUCCCAGUGCUGAGCCUUCCACACACACGUUUCACAGCCGUGGUCCUGGAGUAGAUAUCUGUUGCAUGUAACCCAAGAAUCCAAGUAGAUGAUUGAAAUAAAUAUUUAAGAUAUUAAAUUGUUGUCCGUGAGGAU